rnacentral:rRNA from 1 species
GACGAACGCUGGCGGCGUGCUUAACACAUGCAAGUCGAACGGAGAAUUUAUUUCGGUAGAUUCUUAGUGGCGAACGGGUGAGUAACGCGUGGGCAACCUGCCCUUCAGAUGGGGACAACAUUCCGAAAGGGGUGCUAAUACCGAAUACGAUCAUUCCUCCGCAUGGAGGGAUGAUGAAAGAUGGCCUCUAUUUAUAAGCUAUCGCUGAAGGAUGGGCCUGCGUCUGAUUAGCUAGUUGGUGGGGUAACGGCCUACCAAGGCGAUGAUCAGUAGCCGGUCUGAGAGGAUGAACGGCCACAUUGGGACUGAGACACGGCCCAAACUCCUACGGGAGGCAGCAGUGGGGAAUAUUCCGCAAUGGACGAAAGUCUGACGGAGCAACGCCGCGUGAGUGAUGAAGGUUUUCGGACUGUAAAACUCUGUUGUUUAGGACGAAAGUGCCUGUUGCAAAUAGUUGCAGGUAUUGACGGUACUGAACGAGGAAGCCACGGCUAACU